UUUUAUAUUUUAUUACUAUUAAAAAUUAUUUAUUAAAUUUAUAUUUUAAUAAAUUAAAAUAUUUUGUUGGGGUGAUAAAAAAAUAUUGAAAACUUUUUUUAUAAAUAUUUCAUAAAUAAAUGAAUUUUUGAUCCAAUUUUAUUGAUU
rnacentral:rRNA from 1 species